rnacentral:rRNA from 1 species
CCCUUAGAUGUCCUGGGCCGCACGCGCGCUACACUGAUGCAUUCAACGAGUUUUACCUUGGCCGAGAGGCCUGGGCAAUCUUUUGAACCUACAUCGUGAUAGGGAUAGAUUAUUGCAAUUAUUAAUCUUGAACGAGGAAUUCCUAGUAAACGCAGAUCAUCAAUCUGCAUUGAUUACGUCCCUGCCCUUUGUACACACCGCCCGUCGCACCUACCGAUUGAAUGGUCCGGUGAAGCCUCGGGAUUGUGGCGAGUUCCCUUUAUUGGGAGUUUGUCGCGAGAACUUGUCUAAACCUUAUCAUUUAGAGGAAGGUGAAGUCGUAACA